rnacentral:rRNA from 1 species
UACGUAGGGUGCAAGCGUUUGUCCGGAAUUAUUGGGCGUAAAGAGCUCGUAGGCGGUCUGUCGCGUCGGCUGUGAAAUCCCGGAGGCUCAACUCCGGGUCUGCAGUCGAUACGGGCAAACUGGGAGUACUGGUCAGGGGAGACUGGAAUUCCUGGUGUAGCGGUGAAAUGCGCAGAUAUCAAGGAGGGAACACCGGUGGCGAAGGCGGGUCUCUGGGCAGUAACUGACGCUGGAGGAGCGAAAGCGUGGGGAGCGAACAGG